GAUGAACGCUGGCGGCGUGCCUAAUACAUGCAAGCCGAGCGAACGGACUAGAAGCUUGCUUCUCUGAUGUUAGCGGCGGACGGGUGAGUAACACGUGGAUAACCUACCUAUAAGACUGGGAUAACUUCGGGAAACCGUAGCUAAUACCGGAUAAUAUUUUGAACCGCAUGGUUCAAAAGUGAAAGACGGUCUUGCUGUCACUUAUAGAUGGAUCCGCGCUGCAUUAGCUAGUUGGUAAGGUAACGGCUUACCAAGGCAACGAUGCAUAGCCGACCUGAGAGGGUGAUCGGCCACACUGGAACUGAGACACGGUCCAGACUCCUACGGGAGGCAGCAGUAGGGAAUCUUCCGCAAUGGGCGAAAGCCUGACGGAGCAACGCCGCGUGAGUGAUGAAGGUCUUCGGAUCGUAAAACUCUGUUAUUAGGGAAGAACAUAUGUGUAAGUAACUGUGCACAUCUUGACGGUACCUAAUCAGAAAGCCACGGCUAACUACGUG
rnacentral:rRNA from 1 species